AGCGAACGCUGGCGGCAGGCCUAACACAUGCAAGUCGAGCGGGCGUAGCAAUACGUCAGCGGCAGACGGGAGAGUAACACGUGGGAACGUGCCCUUUGGUUCGGAAUAACUCAGGGAAACUUGAGCUAAUACCGGAUAAGCCCUUCGGGGGAAAGAUUUAUUGCCAUUGGAGCGGCCCGCGCCGGAUUAGCUAGUUGGUGAGGUAAUGGCUCACCAAGGCGACGAUCCGUAGCUGGUCUGAGAGGAUGACCAGCCUCACUGGGACUGAGACACGGCCCAGACUCCUAUGGGAGGCAGCAGUGGGGAAUAUUGGACAAUGGGCACAAGCCUGAUCCAGCCAUGCCGCGUGGAUGAUGAAGGCCCUAGGGUUGUAAAGUCCUUUUAACGGGGAAGAUAAUGACGGUACCCGUAGAAUAAGCCCCGGCUAACUUCGUGCCAGCCGCCGCAGUAA
rnacentral:rRNA from 1 species